GGUCCGGCUAAUUACGUGCCAGCAGCCGCGGUAAUACGUAAGGACCGAGCGUUGUCCGGAAUCAUUGGGCGUAAAGAGUACGUAGGCGGUAUGAUAAGUUAGGAGUAAAAGGCACCGGCUCAACCGGCGUAAGCUUUUAAAACUGUCAUACUUGAGACAUUGAGGGGAAAGUGGAAUUUCUAGUGUAGCGGUGAAAUGCGCAGAUAUUAGGAAGAAUACCAGAGGCGAAAGCGACUUUCUAGCGAUGAUCUGACGCUGAGGUACGAAAGCGUGGGAAGCAAACAGGAUUAGAUACCCUGGUAGUCCACGCCGUAAACGAUGAGUGCUAGAUGUCGGGUGUCAAAGCUCGGUAUCGCCGUUAACACAUUAAGCACUCCGCCUGGGGAGUACGUACGCA
rnacentral:rRNA from 1 species